GCAAUUCCGAAUACGCCCCGGUAAGCCACCGAGCCGGGAGGACUACAACACUGCGAAGCCGGCACCAUCUGCUGGCAACGACAGCAAGUGGCCGUCGACGCAGCCACCACCACAAGGCGACAACGAAAAAGUGUCGACGACGCCACAACGCAGCGAGAACAGAACCUGGGCCAACGUUGCAAAACAUGGAACACAGCUUCACACAGAGAACGGGUCUUUUCCCUGCUGGUCCUGGAUUGGAAACAACCGACGCCACUACACCAGGUCCUGCUGAAGUAAUCGCAGCAGCCGUCAAGUCCAAGGUCCACCACCCCGAUACAGUCCCCUGGAGCUGAUUACUCGGUAAUGAGUGCUGUAUUUGCCACGCAAGGUGCUGACACCAUGGGACGGCCCGCAACUAAUCCCCGCUGGACGACACCUCGUGUCACUAAUCAGCCGGUGCACCGAGGGACUUGAAAUCUGUGCAUCGGCCUUUGUAGCACAUUUUCUUGUGUUGCCCAACUGUACCCGACCAGUUAUACUGGGUAUAGAUUUUCUUCAGGAGUAUGAAACGGUCAUUAAUGCUCAAGAGUUGUUCGUAACCUUUGCUGUCUGCGUUCAUACUGAUUCGAAUGACGCGGACGAACAUCGGCGCGUGGCGUUACACGUCGUCGAUGAGUGUGUGACGUUGCCGCCUCGUAGCAGCAUCUUCGUCCUUGCUGAGGGCCCACAAGAACAAGCGGGCACAGGGAUCGCUGAAGGUAAGGUCGCCUUGCUACUGGGUCGAGAGGUCGCCAUAGCUCCUGGCAUCGUGGAGCUCUGAAUUCGGCGGACUGCGAUCUUAGUGACCAACUUCAGUGGUGAAUACAAGCAUUUGGCAAGGCGCACCACCAUAGCCCAAUGGGAAACCCUCGACAAUUUUAUCACCUGCGCUGCGAUUACGACGCACUCCACAGAUUAAAGCUUUGAUGUAGCCUUUACAAACCACAUCAAAGUUAGCGAAAAGUCCGCACAACUCAAGCGGCGAAGAAUGCUUAGCUUGCUGUCAUCUUUUAGCCACUGUUUCACCCCUAAAUCGAAGGUCGGGCAGACUCUGGUAACCAAACACAGAAUCAUCACUGAGCCAACCGUCCAACCAGUGCGUCGACACGCUUACCGCGUAUCAGGGAAAGAACAGAUGCUAUUCAUCAUCAAGUCAAAGAAAUGCUCGAUGACGACGUCAUUCAACCUUCAACCAGUCCGUGGACGUCACCUGUUGUACUGGUUACUAAAAAAGAAGGCUUGAUCUUUUUCUGUGUGGAUUACCGCAAGAUGAACUCCAUUAUCAACAAAGACGUUUAUUCCCUGCCCCGUAUUGACUCUUUAGAUCGCCUGUGACAUUCCCGCUACUUUUCAUCGAUGGAUCUUCGUAGCGGGAACUGGCAGAUUGAUAUCGACGAAGUAGACCGAGAAAAAUGACGUUUAUAAUCCCUGACGGCUUUACGAAUUUAGGGUUCUUCCUUUUGAGUUUUGUUCUGCUCUAGCUACGUUCCAACAAAUGAUGGACACAGUGUUAUCUGACCUGAAUUCAUAAAUAGUGUACUUAGACAACGUAGUUGUUUUUUCUACGGUGUUUGAAGAGUUCAUCAAGUGGCUUCAAGAUGUACUUUAGGUCACUCAUAUUUCCGAUAUAUCCCUGAAGCCGGAAAAGUGUCACUUUGGAUAGGAGGAGCUAAAAUUUUUGGGCCAUAUUGGGAGCAGUAGAGGUGUGCGUCCUGACCCCGAAAAAGCCAUGGCAGUUGCUCUACAUCCAGAACGAACUACACCCAGAAGUGUUUUGUCUUAUUUAACUGUGUUUAGCUCAUAGAACUUUACAAAAAAGAUGCGCCAAAGCUCACGAGGCACCCCGUUCUUAUUCUUCUAGUUACUUCA